rnacentral:rRNA from 1 species
UACGUAGGGUGCGAGCGUUGUCCGGAAUUACUGGGCGUAAAGAGCUCGUAGGUGGUUUGUCGCGUUGUCCGUGAAAACUCACAACUCAAUUGUGGGCGUGCGGGCGAUACGGGCAGACUGGAGUACUGCAGGGGAGACUGGAAUUCCUGGUGUAGCGGUGGAAUGCGCAGAUAUCAGGAGGAACACCAGUGGCGAAGGCGGGUCUCUGGGCAGUAACUGACGCUGAGGAGCGAAAGCGUGGGGAGCGAACAGG